AGUGCAGUCUGCUGCUAGUGCUAGUCUUUAUCAUUUCGGGAAACCAUGCUUUCUUUGAGCCCAUGAUCAUGCAGUAGGCUAUUAGCUUAUCUAUCAUGAUAUCGGAUGGAUUGAGAUUAGUGAUCAAAUGUUAAAUAUUUGUCCUCUUAGCACACCUUGGUCCUACUUCUAGCCUCCAAUAGAAAAACUAGAGCCUUCCCUUGUCACAUUAGGAGAGUUCUUGAACUUCGUACCAUUUUUUUAGAUUUCCCUCCAGGCAGUGGCCCUUUCUUCAUUAGGUUCACGCAUCUAUCAUCCGACGCAGUUCGUGCUCGUUGUACUGGGCGUAUAUGUUGCUAAUGUCAUCGGGAUGAGUGGCGUAAACCGGAAGAAAGUGUCUCCUCAUUCCCCUGACGAGCCUCAACACGAAAUGGAACAAACGGUAAUUGGGUAUUGCUACUUCAUUACUGCUAUCGCCAUGUUUUUGGUGCUGUCUGCCCUCUAUGUCAUUAUUAUAGCCGUAAUCCGUCAGUCUUUUGAAUUCACCAGCACUACUUUCCAAGAGAUGGCGAGGAACAACGUCGGGGUAGUAAUCUCUCGAGUCAACAUUGUCUGUAGCUCCAAGGUAAUGCUGGAAGGGACACUGGUGAUGGUAAUAAUCAUCGUACUGGCUGUUGUGUAAAUAAAACCUGUACAAAUAACAAAACAAGACAUUUAGUGACUUGUAAAUGUUUGUACAGGCCAUCACUAAAGUAGAUUUACUCGGUAGGGAUUCGAUGGUGGAAAAUGACGGCCGAAUCCGCAACUAGGACCAACAAGAAACCCGUUGCUAUAAUAAUCAGACCCUGUUUUAAUCCAAUGGUACACUACCUUCAUCAUUGGUGAGUCAAUGAUGAGACCAGGAAAGGAGGAAGAAGAAAGCACAGCCACUCGACCCAAAAGAACCAACGUUUCUAAAAACCUUCCAGCUGUGUGGCACGUAGACAACGUCAGCAUCGAGC